rnacentral:rRNA from 1 species
UACGUAGGGUGCAAGCGUUUAAUCGGAAUUACUGGGCGUAAAGCGUGCGCAGGCGGCUUUGCAAGACAGAUGUGAAAUCCCCGGGCUUAACCUGGGAACUGCAUUGUGACUGCAUGGCUGGAGUGCGGCAGAGGGGGAUGGAAUUCCGCGUGUAGCAGUGAAAUGCGUAGAUAUCGGUGGAGACACCGUGGCGAAGGCGGUCGCCUGG